UACGGAGGGUGCGAGCGUUAUCCGGAUUCACUGGGUUUAAAGGGUGCGUAGGUGGGUUUGUAAGUCAGUGGUGAAAUCUCCGUGCUUAACAUGGAAACUGCCAUUGAUACUACAGGUCUUGAAUUUUCCGGAGGUUAGCGGAAUAUGUCAUGUAGCGGUGAAAUGCUUAGAUAUGACAUAGAACACCAAUUGCGAAGGCAGCUAACUACAGGGAUAUUGACACUGAGGCACGAAAGCGUGGGGAUCAAACAGG
rnacentral:misc_RNA from 1 species